GCUGCGUCCGAAAUCGAAUACUUCCCUACUAUAUAGUAUGCGAAAAACAGUACGCGAGCAGAGUAGUAUGUCCGAAAUCAUAGAAUUCGAAAAACAGUAGGCGAAAAGUACCCGGAUGACCUACUACUUCCGGCGAGAUUCCGAAGUGCGCAUACGGUGGACACUUUACUAUCCCAUGAUGCCUCGGGGGAGGAUUUGUCGUCGUUAUUUUUGAAAAUGGCGGAAAGCGGAGACGCGGCUCUAUUCAAGUGGACUGAUGAACACACCCGUGCUCUAAUACAGUGGAGAGUGGCUAAUGAAGCCCUCUUCACUGGAAAGAGAAAUGCUGCAAUUAAGGGUUUUGAAGUUUUUAUCACAGAGCAGAGGCUGGAGGGCAAAAUGUCUGCUCUUCAGAUAAAAAAAAAAAUGGGAGAACUUUAAACAAAAAUAUAAAGUAAGAUUUUUUUUAUUAUUAUUGUAGUUCACC